rnacentral:rRNA from 1 species
AUGGAUGGAAAUGCAGCAGCUGAUGGGGGUGAGCCCACCUACGAUCCAAUGAAAGAUCCAACAAGGAAGCCACAACGGUCAAAUGAUCCGGGAUGGCACUAUGGAUAUUGGUCUGAGCCUCCAAAUCGGGAUCUUGUUGUGUGCGCUCUUUGUGGCAAGAUAACUUCUGGAGGGAUCAAGAGGCAUAAAGAGCAUCUUGCGGGCGUCGGUGGAGAUGCAAUUGGUUGUCCUAAGGCCACCACACAAUUGAGGAGAGAAAUGGGAACAUAUUUGGAGCAAAAUAGGAGGAUCAAGGGAGUAGUUGAUGUAGAUGAUGUUCAGGAGGUUGUGGAGGUGAGUUCAGUUGGAGCAAACAUCGCCUCUAAAAGGCCAAGCUCAGGGACAACAGCCAAACAGAAUAAGAAAGCGUUUAUCACCAACAUGCAAGGUAAAAAGAAGUCUGUUUCUGUUGUGUCUGCCGCCAAUAGUUCCAAGCCAAUUGUUGCCAUGCUACGAAGACCACCCGAGGAUCUUAUAGAUGAAAGACGCUCUGGGUGUUCUCAAAGCACCAUGGAGUCCAGCACGAAGACUCCAGAAGAGAGGCAGUAUGUCAAUAUGCAGUGGGCAUUGUUCUUUUAG